GAUGAACGCUGGCGGCGUGCUUAACACAUGCAAGUCGAACGAAGCACUUAUGACAGAUUCUUCGGAUGAUGGAUUAAAUGACUGAGUGGCGGACGGGUGAGUAACGCGUGGGUAACCUGCCUCAUACAGGGGGAUAACAGUUAGAAAUGACUGCUAAUACCGCAUAAGCGCACAGUACCGCAUGGUACGGUGUGAAAAACUCCGGUGGUAUGAGAUGGACCCGCGUCUGAUUAGCUAGUUGGUGGGGUAACGGCCUACCAAGGCGACGAUCAGUAGCCGGCCUGAGAGGGUGAACGGCCACAUUGGGACUGAGACACGGCCCAAACUCCUACGGGAGGCAGCAGUGGGGAAUAUUGGACAAUGGGGGAAACCCUGAUCCAGCGACGCCGCGUGAGUGAAAAAGUAUUUCGGCUCGUAAACCUCUGUCCUAUGGGACGAAGAAGUGACGGUACCAUAGGAGGAAGCCCCGGCUAACUACGUG
rnacentral:rRNA from 1 species